rnacentral:rRNA from 1 species
CCGGGUUGCGGGGGGGCUUAACAUGCAAGUCGAACGGACUGACAUAAAAACUUUGGUUCUUUGACGUGUCGAGUGGGAGAGGGGAGAAUCAUGUCUGGGAAACGGCCCGAUGAAGGGGAAUAAUUCCUGAAAACGGAACUUAAUACCGAAAAGAUCCUCACCACCAAGGUGGGGGACCUUCAGACCUCUCACCAUCUCAUGUGCCCAUAUGGCAUUAGCGCAUUAGUGGGGUAACGGCUCACCUGCUCAACAAUGCCUAGAUGGUCUGACAGGAUGACCAGGGUGACUGGAACUGAGACACGGUCCAGACUCCUACGACUCCUACGGGAGGGGAAUAUUGCACAAUGGGCGCAUGCCUGAUGCUCCCAUGCCGCGUGUAUGAAGAAAGCCUUCGGGCUUUCAGGUCUUUCAACUCUGAGGAAGGCGAAGAGGUUAAUAACCUUGCCUAUUGACGUUACCCACGGUACCAAGCACCGGCUAACUCCGUGCCUACAUGCGCGCUAAUACGGAGGGUGCAAGCGUUAAUCCGAAUUACUGGAAUUUUUGGCGCACGCACGCGGUCUGUUAAUUUUCUAUGUGAAAUCCCCGGGCUUAACCUGUCAACUGCAUUUGAAACAUGGCAAGCUGGAGAACUUGAGAGGGGGGUAGAAUUCCAGGUGUCCCGGUGAAAUGCGUAAAUAUCUGGAGGAAUACCGGUGCCCAAGGCGGCCCCGUGGACUAAUACUGACUCUCUGGUGCUAAAGCGUGAAGACCUGAGGAGAUUACAUACCUGGAAUACCAAAAUUAUCCAA